AUUGCCUCAGUAACGGCGAGUGAAGCGGCAACAGCUCAAAUUUGAAAUCUGGCCCUAGGCCCGAGUUGUAAUUUGCAGAGGAUGCUUUUGGCGAGGUGCCUUCCGAGUUCCCUGGAACGGGACGCCAUAGAGGGUGAGAGCCCCGUCUGGUCGGACACCAAGCCUCUGUAAAGCUCCUUCGACGAGUCGAGUAGUUUGGGAAUGCUGCUCUAAAUGGGAGGUAUAUGUCUUCUAAAGCUAAAUACCGGCCAGAGACCGAUAGCGCACAAGUAGAGUGAUCGAAAGAUGAAAAGCACUUUGGAAAGAGAGUUAAACAGCACGUGAAAUUGUUGAAAGGGAAGCGUUCACGACCAGACUUGGGCCGGUUGAUCAUCCAGCGUUCUCGCUGGUGCACUCUGCCGGCCCAGGCCAGCAUCAGUUCGCCCCGGGGGACAAAGACGGCGGGAAUGUAGCUCCUCCGGGAGUGUUAUAGCCCAUCGUGCAAUACCCUGUGGUGGACUGAGGUUCGCGCUCUGCAAGGAUGCUGGCGUAAUGGUCGUCAACGACCCGUCUUGAAACACGGACCAAGGAGUCGUCUUCGUAUGCGAGUGUUCGGGUGUCAAACCCCUACGCGUAAUGAAAGUGAACGCAGGUGAGAGCUUCGGCGCAUCAUCGACCGAUCCUGAUGUUCUCGGAUGGAUUUGAGUAAGAGCAUACGGGGCCGGACCCGAAAGAAGGUGAACUAUGCCUGUAUAGGGUGAAGCCAGAGGAAACUCUGGUGGAGGCUCGCAGCGGUUCUGACGUGCAAAUCGAUCGUCAAAUAUGGGCAUGGGGGCGAAAGACUAAU
rnacentral:rRNA from 1 species